GACGAACGCUGGCGGCGUGGAUUAGGCAUGCAAGUCGAACGGUAUCAUCCUUUCGGGGGUGAGAGAGUGGCGAACUGGUGAGUAACACGUAGGUUAUCUACCCUCAAGACGGGGACAACCCAGGGAAACUUGGGCUAAUACCGGAUGUGAGCAACUUUUAGUUGUUUGAAAGGUGGCGUAAGCUGUCGCUUGGGGAUGAGCCUGCGUCCUAUUAGUUAGUUGGUGAGGUAACGGCUCACCUAGGCAAUGAUAGGUAGGCGGCCUUAACGGGUGGUCGCCCACACUGGGAUUGAGAUACGGCCCAGACUCCUACGGGAGGCAGCAGUCGAGAAUAGUCUACAAUGGUCGGAAGACUGAUAGUGCGACGCCGCGUGAACGAUGAAUCCCUUCGGGGUGUAAAAGUUCUUUUAUAUGUGAGCAGUGCUUCUUAUAUUAACAGUAUGGGGAGAGAGAUAUUAGCAUAUGAAUAAGCAACGGCUAAACUCCGUGCCAGCAGCCCG
rnacentral:rRNA from 1 species